AAAAACAUCUUUUCUUGUUAGUUUCUGAAGUAUGGCCUGCCCGCUGACGUAUUUUGAGUUGAAGGGCCGCGGUAUUUUGACCGUGCAAAGGUAGCAUAGUCAUUAGUUCUUUAAUUGUGAUCUGGUAUGAAUGGCUUGACGAGACAUGGGCUGUCUUGGCAUGGAUUUAUUGUUGAAUUUGGAGUUUAGGUUAAAAUUCUUAGAUGUUUUUAUGGGACGAGAAGACCCUAUAGAGUUUGACAUUUGGUUGCGCAUUCUUGUUGUUUGUUUUAAAUUUUUGCGUGUCUUUUGUUUUGUUGGGGUGAUGGGAGGAAUUUAUUUAACUCCUCUUUUAUGUGAUAUAUUGAUUUAUGUUUAUUUUGAUCCAUUUAUUUUGAUUGUAAGAUUAAAUUACCUUAGGGAUAACAGCGUUAUCUUCCCUGAGAGUUCUUAUUGGCGGGGGGGUUUGCGACCUCGAUGUUGGAUUAAGGUUAAUUUUUGGUGU
rnacentral:rRNA from 1 species